rnacentral:tRNA from 1 species
GGAUAUAGCUCAAUGGUUAGAGCAACCGAGCUAUAACCGGUUGGUUACAGGUUCGAGUCCUGUUAGGUCCACCA